rnacentral:rRNA from 1 species
GACAGAGGGUGCAAACGUUGUUCGGAAUUACUGGGCGUAAAGCGCGUGUAGGCGGCUAAGUAAGUCGGGCGUGAAAUCCCACGGCUCAACCGUGGAAGUGCACUCGAAACUGCAUAGCUAGAGUCCUGGAGAGGAAGGUGGAAUGCUUGGUGUAGAGGUGAAAUUCGUAGAUAUCAAGCGGAACACCGGUGGCGAAGGCGGCCCUUCUGGACAGUGACUGACGCUGAGACGCGAAAGCGUGGGGAGCAAACAGG